rnacentral:rRNA from 1 species
UACGGGGGGGGCAAGCGUUGUUCGGAAUUACUGGGCGUAAAGCGCGCGCAGGCGGCUUCUUAAGUCCAUCGGUGAAAUGCCGGGGCUCAACCCCGAGCCGGCCGAGGAUACUGGGAGGCUGGAGACGAGUAGAGGCAAGCGGAAUUCCGGGUGUAGCGGUGGAAUGCGUAGAGAUCCGGAAGAACACCGGAGGCGAAGGCGGCUUGCUGGGCUUGGUCUGACGCUGAGGCGCGAAAGCGUGGGGAGCGAACAGG